AUUGAACGCUGGCGGCGUGCUUAACACAUGCAAGUCGAUCGGUAACAGGUGUAGCAAUACAUGCUGACGAGAGGCGGACGGGUGAGUAAUGCUUGGGAAUCUGCCUAUUAGUGGGGGACAACCCGGGGAAACUCGGGCUAAUACCGCAUACGCUCUACGGAGGAAAGCCGGGGACCGCAAGGCCUGGCGCUAAUAGAUGAGCCCAAGUCGGAUUAGCUAGUUGGUAGGGAACGGCCUACCAAGGCGACAAUCCGUAGCUGGUCUGAGAGGACGACCAGCCACACCGGAACUGAGACACGGUCCGGACUCCUACGGGAGGCAGCAGUGGGGAAUAUUGGACAAUGGGGGCAACCCUGAUCCAGCGACGCCGCGUGGGUGAAGAAGGCCUGCGGGUUGUAAAG
rnacentral:rRNA from 1 species